rnacentral:rRNA from 1 species
UAGGCUGCAACUCGCCUACACGAAGCUGGAAUCGCUAGUAAUCGCGGAUCAGCACGCCGCGGUGAAUACGUUCCCGGGCCUUGUACACACCGCCCGUCACACCAUGGGAGUCGGAUAUGCCCGAAGCCGGUGACCUAACCGCAAGGAAGGAGCCGUCGAAGGUGGAGCCGAUGACUGGGGUGAAGUCGUAACAAGGUAGC